rnacentral:ncRNA from 1 species
ACCGUUCAAGAAGCGCCAGCGCUUGCUGCUGAAUCGGCCAUUGCAGCGAGUGGACGAGGUGGAGGUGUUCGAAAUGUUCGGCGGGGACCUCCCGGUGUGUUACCGGCACCGUAAGAGCAUUAGCGGAAUGCAGGAGAGGCGACUUUCCUGACAACGCAUGCUUACGCAGGUAU